rnacentral:snRNA from 1 species
AUCGCUUCUCGGCCUUUUGGCUAAGAUCAAGUGUAAUAGGGUACGGUAUAUGUUUUUGUCAUUUUUGAUUCAUUUAUUUAGCAAUGUUUUGAUAACCUCUAAAUAACUAGAUAUUUCAAAGUUCC